AGAGUUUGAUCCUGGCUCAGAACGAACGUUGGCGGCGUGGAUUAGGCAUGCAAGUCGAACGCGAACGGCGGACUUCGGUCUGCCUAGUAGAGUGGCGAACGGGUGAGUAACGCGUGGGCAAUCUACCCUCGAGUGGGGAAUAACCAUUCUAACGAGUGGCUAAUUCCGCAUGUGACCAUUCCUUCGCAUGGAGGAAUGGGGAAAGGCGGGGAUCUUCGGACCUGCCGCUCGAGGAGGAGCCCGCGUCCCAUUAGCUUGUUGGUGGGGUAACGGCCCACCAAGGCGACGAUGGGUAGCCGAUCUGAGAGGAUGACCGGCCACACUGGGACUGAGAUACGGCCCAGACUCCUACGGGAGGCAGCAGUCGAGAGGCUUCGGCAAUGGGGGAAACCCUGACCGAGCGACGCCGCGUGCGGGAUGAAGGCCUUCGGGUCGUAAACCGCUGUCAGGAGGGAAGAAUCCUUCCGGGCUAAUACCCCGGAAGUUGACGGUACCUCCAGAGGAAGCUCCGGCUAACUCCGUGCCAGCAGCCGCGGUAAUACGGAGGGAGCGAACGUUGUUCGGAUUUACUGGGCGUAAAGGGCGAGUAGGCGGCAUUGCAAGUCAGGGGUGAAAUGUCUCGGCUCAACCGAGGACCUGCCUCUGAAACUGCUGAACUUGAGAUCGUGAGAGGAGACUGGAAUUCCUAGUGUAGCGGUGAAAUGCAUAGAUAUUAGGAAGAACACCAGUGGCGAAGGCGAGUCUCUGGCACGGUUCUGACGCUGAGGCGCGAAAGCUAGGGGAGCGAACGGGAUUAGAUACCCCGGUAGUCCUAGCCGUAACGUUGUACACUAAGUGUCACGGGUAUUGACCCCUGUGGUGCUGCAGCUAACGCAUUAAGUGUACCGCCUGGGGAGUACGAUCGCAAGAUUAAAACUCAAAGGAAUUUACGGGGGCACGCACAAGCGGUGGAGCAUGUGGUUUAAUUCGACGCACCGCGAAGAACCUUACCUGGAUUUGACAUCCUGGGAUUUUCGAAAGAUUUGAGUGCCCUUCGGGGAACCCAGUGACAGGUGCUGCAUGGCUGUCGUCAGCUCGUGUCGUGAGAUGUUCGGUUAAGUCCGGCAACGAGCGCAACCCCUAUCUUCAGUUGCCAUCGAUUCGGUCGGGAACUCUGAAGAUACUGCCCCGGUUAACGGGGAGGAAGGUGGGGAUGACGUCAACUCCUCAUGGCCCUUAUGUCCAGGGCUACACACGUGCUACAAUGGUAUGUACAGAGGGUUGCGAGCUCGCGAGAGUCAGCUAAUCCCUUAGAGCAUAUCUCAGUUCGGAUAGGAGUCUGGAACUCGACUCCUUGAAGUUGGAAUCGCUAGUAAUCGCGGAUCAGCAUGCCGCGGUGAAUAAGUUCCCGGCCCUUGUAGACACCGCCCGUCACACCACGAGAGUUGAUUGUACCAGAAGUCGUUGGGCUAACCCUUGGGGGAGGCAGGCGCCUAAGGUAUGGUUGAUAAUUGGGACUAAGUCGUAACAAGGUAACC
rnacentral:rRNA from 1 species